UUAGACGGUUCAUUUACUUCAAGUCCUUAAGGAAUCUCUCUUGUGCUACGGGUCCCAGCAACAGUUUGGAGAGGAGCGUAGUGCCCUGCUGCCGAACUCAGAACCUACUACUCCAGAAGUAGCCCGCUGUUUGGAUUGGGCAGUUUGCAGAGAGAAGGGAAAUGAAGCUUUGCAGAAGUCAUCAAUCAUGAGAAGAAAUAUGCUUGUUCAAUAUCAUAUACUACUAAUAUCUUGAAAGGCAUGCAUCUCAGAAUCCGGAUUCCAUCCUGAGAGUUAAAAUGGCCCCACUGCUUGCUUUCAAUUAACAGAAUGACUGCUUUAUAAUGAAACUUAUAGUGUCUCCCAUUUGAAAUUUAUACCCAUGAUUCUUGGCAUAGGAUCAGGGAAUGAGGGGGGAGGUGGAGCAGGGCAUAUCAUAAUCUCCGAGGAGAAAGCAGGACCGAUUAGU